AUUGAACGCUGGCGGCAUGCUUUACACAUGCAAGUCGAACGGUAACAGGUUAAGCUGACGAGUGGCGAACGGGUGAGUAGUGCAUCGGAACGUGCCCGAUCGUGGGGGAUAACGCAGCGAAAGCUGCGCUAAUACCGCAUACGAUCUGAGGAUGAAAGCGGGGGACCGUAAGGCCUCGCGCGAUCGGAGCGGCCGAUGUCAGAUUAGGUAGUUGGUGGGGUAAAGGCCCACCAAGCCGACGAUCUGUAGCUGGUCUGAGAGGACGACCAGCCAGACUGGGACUGAGACACGGCCCAGACUCCUACGGGAGGCAGCAGUGGGGAAUUUUGGACAAUGGGCGAAAGCCUGAUCCAGCAAUGCCGCGUGCAGGAAGAAGGCCUUCGGGUUGUAAACUGCUUUUGUACGGAGCGAAAAGGUCCUUUCUAAUACAAGGGGCUCAUGACGGUACCGUAAGAAUAAGCACCGGCUAACUACGUGCCAGCCGCCGCCGUAA
rnacentral:rRNA from 1 species